rnacentral:rRNA from 1 species
AUGGACAGUCCGAGCUUCCCCAAAUUUAGACCAUAUAUGGGGGAGAAAUGCGAUUGUUCAGACUAUCCUAUGUUAUAUCCAACACAAAAAACCCACCCCACAACGUAUCACCCUCUUUUUCUCUCGGACCCUCCCUUUCUCACUCGGUUUUCCGUCGUAGUGGGACAUUUAUCGCUGGAGCCUCCUUCUUUAAAAUCAAAUGACACCCACCUCACCUUGGUCAUGCGUUGCAACAAAGAUGAAUUUUUUCAUAUUUACUGUAUAAUAAAAUGGAUUAAACUAACACAUACUAUUGACACAAAAUAA